rnacentral:rRNA from 1 species
UACGGAGGGAGCUAGCGUUGUUCGGAAUUACUGGGCGUAAAACGCACGUAGGCGGCUACUCAAGUCAGAGGUGAAAGCCCAGGGCUCAACCUUGGAACUGCCUUUGAAACUAGGUAGCUAGAAUUCUGGAGAGGUCAGUGGAAUUCCGAGUGUAGAGGUGAAAUUCGUAGAUAUUCGGAAGAACACCAGUGGCGAAGGCGACUUACUGGACACAUAUUGACGCUGAGGUGCGAAAGCGUGGGGAGCAAACAGG